rnacentral:rRNA from 1 species
UACGUAGGGGCGAGCGUUGUCCGGAUUUAUUGGGCGUAAAGAGCUCGUAGGCGGCUUGGCAAGUCGGGUGUGAAACCUCCAGGCUCAACCUGGAGACGCCACUCGAUACUGCCAUGGCUAGAGUCCGGUAGGGGACCACGGAAUUCCCGGUGUAGCGGUGAAAUGCGCAGAUAUCGGGAGGAACACCGGUGGCGAAGGCGGUUCUCUGGGCCUUACCUGACGCUGAGGAGCGAAAGCGUGGGGAGCGAACAGG